rnacentral:rRNA from 1 species
UACGUAGGUGGCGAGCGUUAUCCGGAUUUACUGGGCGUAAAGCGUGUGUAGGCGGGGUAUCAAGUGGGGUGUGAAAUCGCUCGGCUUAACCGGGCGCGGUUAUGCCAGACUGUUAUUCUGGAGUGCGGGAGAGGGGCGUGGAAUUCCGGGUGUAGUGGUGAAAUGCGUAGAGAUCCGGAGGAACCCCAGAGGCGAAGGCGGCGCCCUGGCCCGACACUGACGCUCAGACACGACAGCAUGGGGAGCGAACGGG